AUUGAACGCUGGCGGCAUGCCUUACACAUGCAAGUCGAACGGCAGCACGGGAGCAAUCCUGGUGGCGAGUGGCGAACGGGUGAGUAAUAUAUCGGAACGUGCCCAGUCGUGGGGGAUAACGUAGCGAAAGCUACGCUAAUACCGCAUACGAUCUAUGGAUGAAAGCGGGGGAUCGCAAGACCUCGCGCGAUUGGAGCGGCCGAUAUCAGAUUAGGUAGUUGGUGAGGUAAAGGCUCACCAAGCCGACGAUCUGUAGCUGGUCUGAGAGGACGACCAGCCACACUGGGACUGAGACACGGCCCAGACUCCUACGGGAGGCAGCAGUGGGGGAAUAUUGGACAAUGGGCGAAAGCCUGAUCCAGCCAUGCCGCGUGUGUGAAGAAGGUCUUCGGAUUGUAAAGCACUUUAAGUUGGGAGGAAGGGCAGUAAGUUAAUACCUUGCUGUUUUGACGUUACCAACAGAAUAAGCACCGGCUAACUUCGUACG
rnacentral:rRNA from 1 species